rnacentral:rRNA from 1 species
CCUACGGGGGGCUGCAGUGGGGAAUAUUGGACAAUGGGGGCAACCCUGAUCCAACCAUGCCGCGUGUGUGAAGAAGGCCCUCGGGUUGUAAAGCACUUUCAGUGAGGAAGAACGCCUGGUGGUUAAUACCCAUCAGGAAAGACAUCACUCACAGAAGAAGCACCGGCUAACUCCGUGCCAGCAGCCGCGGUAAUACGGAGGGUGCGAGCGUUAAUCGGAAUUACUGGGCGUAAAGCGCGCGUAGGUGGCUUGAUAAGCCGGUUGUGAAAGCCCCGGGCUCAACCUGGGAACGGCAUCCGGAACUGUCAAGCUAGAGUGCAGGAGAGGAAGGUAGAAUUCCCGGUGUAGCGGUGAAAUGCGUAGAGAUCGGGAGGAAUACCAGUGGCGAAGGCGGCCUUCUGGACUGACACUGACACUGAGGUGCGAAAGCGUGGGUAGCAAACAGGAUUAGAUACCCCAGUAGUC